CAGUCGCCACGGUAAUACGAAGGGGGCUAGCGUUGCUCGGAAUCACUGGGCGUAAAGGGUGCGUAGGCGGGUUUCUAAGUCAGGGGUGAAAUCCUGGAGCUCAACUCCAGAACUGCCCUUGAUACUGGAAGUCUUGAGUAUGGGAGAGGUGAGUGGAACUGCGAGUGUAGAGGUGAAAUUCGUAGAUAUUCGCAAGAACACCAGUGGCGAAGGCGGCUCACUGGCCCAUAACUGACGCUGAGGCACGAAAGCGUGGGGAGCAAACAGGAUUAGAUACCCCCGUAGUCCCUGUCUCUUAUAC
rnacentral:rRNA from 1 species